rnacentral:lncRNA from 12 species
GGCGAAUGAAAACCACCAAGCGUUUCCAGCCAGACCAACAGAAAAAAUUUCUCCCCGCCGCACAAUCCCCGCUGCCCAGACCAGCGCAGUCGGAGCCUGUUUAGGCUCCCUCUGUAUUACAGUUGUGCCCAGUCCGGCUGGGAAACAUCUGAUUACUGCCCCUGUAAUCUGUUGACACUAUCACCCAGAUAAACAAGCUGCCAUCGAUCUUUUCAUUAGGUGAUCAAAUAACAAACAAAGCAGGUGAAAGAGAAGAGCGCUGGAAUGCUCGCACGUCCCCAGCCCGGCGCCUUGCCGCUGCAGCUGGCCCAGGGACACGAGGUCGGUGCCCGCUGUCCCCGUGGGUCACCUCUGGGAGUCUGGGGAGUAAAAUCUAGAUGAUAUACAUACGGA